rnacentral:rRNA from 1 species
UACGGGGGGGGGCAAGCGUUGUUCGGAAUUACUGGGCGUAAAGGGCUCGUAGGUGGCCAACUAAGUCAGACGUGAAAUCCCCUCGGCUUAACCGGGGGAACUGCGUCUGAUACUGGAUGGCUUGGAUUUGGGAGAGGGAUGCGGAAUUCCAGGUGUAGCGGUGAAAUGCGUAGAUAUCUGGAGGAACACCGGGUGGCGAAGGCGGCAUCCUGGACCAAUAUUGACGCUGAGGAGCGAAAGCCAGGGGAGCAAACGGG